rnacentral:piRNA from 1 species
UGCUGUGGUUGCUCCCAUUACAACGGGC